UACGUAGGGUGCGAGCGUUGUCCGGAAUUAUUGGGCGUAAAGAGCUCGUAGGCGGUCUGUCGCGUCUGCUGUGAAAACUCAGGGCUUAACCCUGAGCUUGCAGUGGGUACGGGCAGACUAGAGUGCGGUAGGGGAGACUGGAAUUCCUGGUGUAGCGGUGAAAUGCGCAGAUAUCAGGAGGAACACCGGUGGCGAAGGCGGGGUCUCUGGGGCCGUAA
rnacentral:rRNA from 1 species